rnacentral:siRNA from 1 species
AUAGCCCUUCUGCUCGGAUGC